AAUAAGUGCAGUUUUGCACUAUUCAUGUCCAACGUUUGACCGUUCGUUUUAUUUGAAAUUUUUUUAUGAUUAGCAUUUUUAUUGUUAUUAGAUGAUAAAACAUGAAUAAUACUUUAUGAGUGACUAAUUUUUUUUAUUUUUUUCAUAAAUUUUCAAAUAAGACGGAAGGUCAAACGUUGGACACGGAUACCCAUUGUUGUACUUAUU
rfam:Oryza glumipatula chromosome 1, whole genome shotgun sequence.